rnacentral:rRNA from 1 species
GCUACAGGCUUAACACAUGCAAGUCGAGGGGCAGCAUGGUCUUAGCUUGCUAAGACUGAUGGCGACCGGCGCACGGGUGAGUAACACGUAUCCAACCUGCCGUCUACUCUUGGACAGCCUUCUGAAAGGAAGAUUAAUACAAGAUGGCAUCAUGAGUCCGCAUGUUCACAUGAUUAAAGGUAUUCCGGUAGACGAUGGGGAUGCGUUCCAUUAGAUAGUAGGCGGGGUAACGGCCCACCUAGUCUUCGAUGGAUAGGGGUUCUGAGAGGAAGGUCCCUCACAUUGGAACUGAGACACGGUCCAAACUCCUACGGGAGGCAGCAGUGAGGAAUAUUGGUCAAUGGGCGAGAGCCUGAACCAGCCAAGUAGCGUGAAGGAUGACUGCCCUAUGGGUUGUAAACUUCUUUUAUAAAGGAAUAAAGUCGGGUAUGCAUACCCGUUUGCAUGUACUUUAUGAAUAAGGAUCGGCUAACUCCGUGCCAGCAGCCGCGGUAAUACGGAGGAUCCGAGCGUUAUCCGGAUUUAUUGGGUUUAAAGGGAGCGUAGAUGGAUGUUUAAGUCAGUUGUGAAAGUUUGCGGCUCAACCGUAAAAUUGCAGUUGAUACUGGAUAUCUUGAGUGCAGUUGAGGCAGGCGGAAUUCGUGGUGUAGCGGUGAAAUGCUUAGAUAUCACGAAGAACUCCGAUUGCGAAGGCAGCCUGCUAAGCUGCAACUGACAUUGAGGCUCGAAAGUGUGGGUAUCAAACAGGAUUAGAUACCCUGGUAGUCCACACGGUAAACGAUGAAUACUCGCUGUUUGCGAUAUACGGCAAGCGGCCAAGCGAAAGCGUUAAGUAUUCCACCUGGGGAGUACGCCGGCAACGGUGAAACUCAAAGGAAUUGACGGGGGCCCGCACAAGCGGAGGAACAUGUGGUUUAAUUCGAUGAUACGCGAGGAACCUUACCCGGGCUUAAAUUGCAGAUGAAUUACGGUGAAAGCCGUAAGCCGCAAGGCAUCUGUGAAGGUGCUGCAUGGUUGUCGUCAGCUCGUGCCGUGAGGUGUCGGCUUAAGUGCCAUAACGAGCGCAACCCUUGUUGUCAGUUACUAACAGGUUCCGCUGAGGACUCUGACAAGACUGCCAUCGUAAGAUGUGAGGAAGGUGGGGAUGACGUCAAAUCAGCACGGCCCUUACGUCCGGGGCUACACACGUGUUACAAUGGGGGGUACAGAGGGCCGCUACCACGCGAGUGGAUGCCAAUCCCAAAAACCUCUCUCAGUUCGGACUGGAGUCUGCAACCCGACUCCACGAAGCUGGAUUCGCUAGUAAUCGCGCAUCAGCCACGGCGCGGUGAAUACGUUCCCGGGCCUUGUACACACCGCCCGUCAAGCCAUGGGAGCCGGGGGUACCUGAAGUGCGUAACCGCGAGGAGCGCCCUAGGGUAAAACUGGUGACUGGGGCU